GAUGAACGCUGGCGGCGUGCCUAAUACAUGCAAGUCUAGCGAACAGACGAGGAGCUUGCUCCUCUGACGUUAGCGGCGGACGGGUGAGUAACACGUGGAUAACCUACCUAUAAGACUGGGAUAACUUCGGGAAACCGGAGCUAAUACCGGAUAACAUGUUGAACCGCAUGGUUCAACAGUGAAAGACGGUCUUGCUGUCACUUAUAGAUGGAUCCGCGCCGCAUUAGCUAGUUGGUAAGGUAACGGCUUACCAAGGCAACGAUGCGUAGCCGACCUGAGAGGGUGAUCGGCCACACUGGAACUGAGACACGGUCCAGACUCCUACGGGAGGCAGCAGUAGGGAAUCUUCCGCAAUGGGCGAAAGCCUGACGGAGCAACGCCGCGUGAGUGAAGAAGGUCUUCGGAUCGUAAAACUCUGUUAUUAGGGAAGAACAAAUGUGUAAGUAACUAUGCACGUCUUGACGGUACCUAAUCAGAAAGCCACGGCUAACUACGUG
rnacentral:rRNA from 1 species